AAUUACUACAAUCUGUGACUACAUUAAUUCAUUCAUACAUUUUGUGAGUUCUAAAAGUUUAUAAAAUUAAUACGUUUUUAUUUAUUUACAAGGACAACGGUGUAGUAGAAUUAAAUAAAAAGUUAUACCUAUGGAAAUCUGAAAAAAAUACUCUAAAUAAUAAUAAGGCAUAGGUACCAUGUAAUACUCCAUACCAAACUGUUCAUUAGUAAACAGAAAUGGACCAACAAUUUUCAUUGUCUUGGAACAAUUUUCACGGGAAUCUUAGCAAAGGUUUCGCUGGCUUAUUAGGCAAUGGUGAAUUUGUCGAUGUAACGAUUGCUGUAGAAGGCCACUUGCUCCAAGCACACAAAGUUAUACUUUCAAUAUGUUCGCCGUACUUCAAGAAAAUGUUCCAAUUGAAUCCCUGUCAGCAUCCUAUUGUUGUACUCAGAGAUGUCUCUCACAAAGCUAUGAGGGAUUUGUUACAAUUUAUGUAUCACGGCGAAGUUAGUGUUAAAAGAGAAGAUCUCACUAGUUUUAUAGGUACAGCUGAAGUUUUGCAAAUAAAGGGAUUAACAAAUAAAGAGACUGAAGAAGAAUGUUGUGAGACUGAAAAGGAACCUCAACAAAACUUAGAAACUCAUAAUGAUAAUCCUAACACUGAAUCCUGUGCCUCUGAUACAUAUGAUACCUCACCAAAUGAAACUCAAGAAACAAACGACAUUGAUAUAUUUAAACAAAGGCAAUUCAUUGAAAAGCUUCAACAGAUCAGCACACUCAAAAGAAAAUCAGAAGAAUUUCUUAAAAAAAACUUUUAUACAGAUUUACUCAACGCAGAGAAGAGGCAAAAGUUCAAUGAAAAAUUUAACUACAAUAAACAAUCUAACCAUUCUGUACAUAGUGCAUAUGAGAACUUGAAGAAAAUAUAUGACGAAAAUCCUGUAGAUAUAACAACUUCUUUGAAUCCAAUUCAGAGUCCCAGUAAAAAUACCAAUGAAAAUAAUAUGAGUCAAAUAGGGCCAGACACUCCGAUUGAACUUAAAACUGAAUGUGAUGAUAGUGAUAUUAUUGUAACAGACCCAGCCGUGUGCACAACUCACGAUACACAAUCAGAAGGAAAGAAAAGCUUGAUGAUGCCGUUAGAUCUGCAAACAACACAAGAUAAUUGUACCGGGUUGAGUACUCUUUUUUUGGAUCUGAAAAAUUUAGUAAAUGGAAAGAUAUCAAAUAAAGCAAUAAGACCUAGUAAUGAAGAAUACACGAGACCCGCUUUAGACCAUCGCCUCGUCACCAUACCACAGAAAGAGGAUGGGAAAAAGAAGUAUCCGCAGAGAUCGUGUCGGCUUUGCUGGCGAAUAGGGAAACGUCGCGAUACUAGAUUUAUGUGUAGUGCUUGUGAAUUACCAUUUUGCAAAUCGCCAUGCUUUGAAGUUCAUUUUAACGACGUGUUUAAAGUGUCGCACCUCCAAGGAGAUUACUACGCUAAUUAGUCUUUUAAGCUAAUUUUUUUUCCUCUCAAGAGGAAAUUUAUAUUAUAGAGAUACAAAAAUAAGUGAUAUGAUAAAAUACACAAAAGAAUCAAAGAUUCAAUAAAUUUGGGACCAAAUUAUGCCACAAAUAAAAAUAUAUAUUUUUAAAAACAUAAUUUUCAAAUAACAGUACAAUUGUGCAAAGCUCUAAAAAGUUGCAGGGAAAAUAAUAUUUUAAAAUAUGUUUUAUAAAUCUUAUUCUGUUAAGAAGUAUAAUGCUCAUUGUAUUUUUAAGACUUAAUGAGAGUUGCUUUAGCAUGAUUGUACUGCAUUUCAAAAAAAUAAAAGAUAAUAUACCGUUAUACACAUAAUAAUAUACCUAUUUUAUAUAUUUUAUAAUGCAUAUAAUGUACCAUUACAAUUUCUUCAUAUAAGCUGUGAUAUAAACUCGGCUUUUGCGUGCCAAUAUCUAUUUUUAGAAUGCAGUAUUAUGCAUACAUUUUUGGUGCCAUUAUUCUUCUGCCAUAUUUUCAAGACUUUUUUGCUCAUGUUCUAGUCUUUAUUUUUGUAUAAUAUCUGUGCAUUAUCCCUUGUUAUUAAUGGAUCAUCUGACAGCCAGAUUCCAGUGAGAUAUAAGUAUAUAUACAGCCGAAAAGGACACAAGCAAUUAGUCCAUAUGAAUUUUGUUUAUACAAAACACUCAACAACUCAUGGCAAAACUUCAUGGAGAUGUGUGCAAUAUUUUUCACUCAAUAGAUGCCCUGCUACUGUCGAAACGAUAGACUCAAUGAUAUAUGCUGUCAAUCAUCAACAUAACCAUGAAGACUGUUAUGAAAAACUUGUAAGAAAUAAUAUCUAUGAAAUGGAUAAUUCCUCUAAAUAACUAAAAUUCAAGAACUUGAUAAUUAUCAUGAAAAGUUAAAUGACUUACCUAUAUUGUAAAAAUGAUUUAAUUUUAAAAACAUCAUAUUGUGAUCCUGCAUGUCUUGUAAAAACAAUUCAAAACAAAUCUUCUGCACCAAAGGGCUAUAGAUUGAUCCGAUAUCUUGACUAUUAUAUGAGUGUACAGUGCUUACGUAAAUAUAUAAAAGUGUAAAGUUCCUACUUUAUAUAAGAAACUGUAAAUACAUGUAUUAAUAUUAGGGUAACAGUGUUAAUAAGUAAAAAUGUAAAUAAUAGUAUUGUACUCAUUAUUAUAGUUUCUGAAAAUAUUUUGAAGUAUUUGAUACUUAUAUUGGAUUUUGUAUGACCCUUCUAUGACUUAAACUCGAUAUAUAUAUUCGUGAGUGCAUACAUUCUGCAAAAAAUAUUUUAUUUUUAUCUAGUCACAAAAUCUCUGUAUAUUUUUAUUCAUAUAUUAUUUUAUUGUACUUAUGAUUAUGAGGGUGUGUACUGUGUAUGUAAUGAUACAACUGGAUUAUAACCAAAAAAUGUUUUAUUUACAUCCAUU